ensembl:snRNA U6 U6 spliceosomal RNA
GUGCUUGCUUUGGCAGCACAUAUACUAAAAUUGGAACGAUACAGAAAAGAUUAGCAUGGCCCCUGCGCACAAUGACAUGCAAAUUCAUGAACCGUUCCAUAUUUGU